GCCAUUUUGCCUCUUAGUGCUCAUGCUUGAGCCCGCUUGCCCAACUCCUGAGAUGUCAUCGGGAAGCUGCUGAUCAGCAAUUACAGGUAGAUGCUCUUCUCACCUCUCAUUCGGAAUCUACUCUCAAUUAUAUAUAAGACGAACACAGCAAGCAGUCACCGUCUAUGAACUAGAAAGCUGAUUCACCAGACACCGAAUCUGCCAGCACCUUGGUCUUGGACUUCCCAGCCUCCAGAACUAGGAAAUGUUCCAACACAUCUGAGGAAACACAUGCCUUCCCAGACUGGCCUGUUGCUGUUUCCCAGGAGCUGCAUUCUGGAAGGUGGACCAUCAGGUGGAAGAAGUAUUCUUCAGAGAGCUGCCUUCCCAAGGGAAUGGUGACAGCUUGCGCUUGCCGGGGAGUCCUGCUGCCUUCCGAGGUGUGAAGGGAAGGCAUGCACUGUGCAUAUGCUGUACCAUACAGUUUUGCCUACAACUGCUUGUAGCUUCAUUGUAGCUGUGAAUGCUCCGUUCCUCUCCUUUUCACCCCUGAAGAUUCGCGAACAUGCAGGAUUGAGCUGUGCGAGGCAUAGCAUUCCCCACAUGGUAGACGAAGGCGGAUGUGGGUCUGAUGGCUCUACUGCCGUCCACCCGGGAGGAUGGACGUGUGUUCCGGGAUAUCAGAGCUUGCGGCUGACCAGCCCACAUGUCCAUGCAGCCCUCCCGCUGGCUGUGUCGACAUUUUGGGUGUCACUGAAGGAUUUUACUGGUGCAGACUUUACAAAGGCAAAAUUGUUUCUCAAGGAAGUGGACAUGAAAGAUCUAAAAUCAGGGCUGCUUAAAAAAAGCAAGCACAGAUUAAUGACCUAUCUACAUCCUACACGGUUUUAGGACUGCGCCUAGAUGGGCUUAAAGACCCUAGCCUAAAAACUGUAAAUGUGCUUCCGUCUUUGCCCUGUAGGACAAGAAAGCCUUACGGGCUUGCUUCUAACUGUGAGAGGAGGAGAGGCCAGGAAGGGAGAGGGAGAAAAGGAGGAGAACAGGAGACGAGAAGGAGGGGAGAGUGAGGAGAGGAGGAGAGAGGCUUGUCAAAAUCUUUUUAGUGCACAAAACUAAUUUUGUUCAUCUUGGAUUUGGUGAGCUGGGUAAUAUUCUGUGCACGGCUCCUAAAUGAAUUAUUAAAUGUCAACUCAAGAUGGCUUAACUAAAAUACUCAAUUUAAUAACCAAAAGUAUCUAAGGUAACAACAACAAUUUUGCAGGUGAUUGUAGAGUUGUCAAGUCAAACCAUUAUAGACAAGCAUUUGGGGUUUUCACAUAAUCUCCUUCCACAUCUCAUCUUCUGUCACUAAAUACCCACUCUGGUGAGCAUAUUCCAUUUCAAUAAAGAUCAUCGCUUCGG
rnacentral:lncRNA from 1 species